UACGAAGGGGGCUAGCGUUGCUCGGAAUCACUGGGCGUAAAGGGUGCGCAGGCGGUUUUGUAAGCCAGAUGUGAAAUCCCCGGGCUCAACCUGGGAAUGGCAUUUGGGACUGCAAGGCUAGAGUGUGGCAGAGGAGACUGGAAUUCCCGGUGUAGCAGUGAAAUGCGUAGAUAUCGGGAGGAAUACCGAUGGCGAAGGCAGGUCUCUGGGCUGACACUGACGCUCAUGCACGAAAGCGUGGGGAGCAAACAGG
rnacentral:rRNA from 1 species